rfam:Callithrix jacchus chromosome 16, whole genome shotgun sequence
UAAAAGGCUUUUUCAGAAGCCACACCCAUUUCCUUUUACAUACAG